rnacentral:rRNA from 1 species
GACGAACGCUGGCGGCGUGCUUAACACAUGCAAGUCGAACGGAAAGGCCCUGCUUUUGUGGGGUGCUCGAGUGGCGAACGGGUGAGUAACACGUGAGUAACCUGCCCUUGACUUUGGGAUAACUUCAGGAAACUGGGGCUAAUACCGGAUAGGAGCUCCUGCUGCAUGGUGGGGGUUGGAAAGUUUCGGCGGUUGGUGAUGGACUCGCGGCUUAUCAGCUUGUUGGUGGGGUAGUGGCUUACCAAGGCUUUGACGGGUAGCAGGCCUGAGAGGGUGACCGGCCACAUUGGGACUGAGAUACGGCCCAGACUCCUACGGGAGGCAGCAGUGGGGAAGAUUGCACAAUGGGCGGAAGCCUGAUGCAGCAACGCCGCGUGCGGGAUGACGGCCUUCGGGUUGUAAACCGCUUUCGCCUGUGACGAAGCGUGAGUGACGGUAAUGGGUAAAGAAGCACCGGCUAACUACGUG